rnacentral:rRNA from 1 species
GACGAACGCUGGCGGCGUGCUUAACACAUGCAAGUCGAACGGUAAGGCCCUUCGGGGUACACGAGUGGCGAACGGGUGAGUAACACGUGGGUGAUCUGCCCUGCACUUCGGGAUAAGCCUGGGAAACUGGGUCUAAUACCGGAUAGGACCCUGGGAUGCAUGUCCUGGGGUGGAAAGCUUUUGCGGUGUGGGAUGGGCCCGCGGCCUAUCAGCUUGUUGGUGGGGGGAUGGCCUACCAAGGCGACGACGGGUAGCCGGCCUGGGAGGGUGACCGGCCACACGGGGACUGAGAUACGGCCCAGACUCCUACGGGGGGCAGCAGUGGGGAAUAUUGCACAAUGGGCGCAAGCCUGAUGCAGCGACGCCGCGUGAGGGAUGACGGCCUUCGGGUUGUAAACCUCUUUCAGCACCGACGAAGCGCAAGUGACGGUAGGUGCAGAAGAAGGACCGGCCAACUACGUGCCAGCCGCCGCCGUAA